rnacentral:rRNA from 1 species
UACGUAGGGUGCGAGCGUUUGUCCGGAAUUAUUGGGCGUAAAGGGCUCGUAGGCGGUUUGUCGCGUCGGGGAGUGAAAACCAGGUGCUUAACACCUGGCUUGCUUUCGAUACGGGCAGACUAGAGGUAUUCAGGGGAGAACGGAAUUCCUGGUGUAGCGGUGAAAUGCGCAGAUAUCAGGAGGAACACCGGUGGCGAAGGCGGGUCUCUGGGCCGAUACUGACGCUGAGACGCGAAAGCGUGGGGAGCGAACAGG